GUGAGUCUGUCAAUGCCAUGUCAAAUUGUCAAUGCUAUUAUAAUAAAAACAAACAGCAGGGAGGGCUAUUUAACAUUUUUAAGCGAUUCUUGAAUGCCAAAUUUAUGUUAAUUCUUGCUCACACUCAUUUGACCUAUCAGUGAACUGGAAAGUCCAGUCGGCAAAUCCAUUCUAAAACUAGUUCGAUAGAAACAAUACUGUUGUUUAUUUUGUUCGUCUGAUAAGUUGAUAAGGCUGCUGUUUCUGCCUUUAAAUACUUACUGCGAUCAUAUUUUUGGGCAAAACUAAACUGGCAUCUACUUUUUAACUGAUCUGAAAAUAUUCGAAACGUUAGUAUCUAAGUGGCUGCUGAGCAAAAGCUACUUUUUCACUUAAUUCUCUUGUAUCAAGUGUUAAUUAUUAAAGUCCGUCAAGAAUUUGCUUGUUUUGAUUCUUCAAGAUGGAUAUCAAGGAGACCAUUAUUGAAACUCAGCAAGGAGGUGUUAAAAUAGUUCAAUACAACAAGCCCAGUAAGAAAAAUGCCAUAGACCAGGUGAUGUACAAGCGAGUAAUAAGAAUACUGAAUGAAGCUGCAGUAGAUGAAAACAUUUCUGUGAUGGUGCUGACUGGCACUGGAGACUUUUACAGCAGUGGCAAUGAUUUCUCUGCUCCACCAGAUUCCAAUACAGGCAACCACUUGAAUGUGCUGAAGGAAUAUAUCAAUGCAUUUAUAAUGUUUCCUAAGAUACUGAUAGCGGUUGUGAAUGGACCCGCUAUUGGUAUUGCGGCCACAACGUUAGCACUUUGUGACAUGGUGUUUGCUUCAGAUAAAUCAUAUUUCUUAACUCCAUUUACGAAACUGGGCAUUGUUGCUGAAGGGUGUUCAACAUUCACAUUUCCACGACUACUUGGUGAAAGGAAGGCAAUUGAGAUGUUGCUCUGUAACUACAGACUAUCUGCAAAAGAAGCUCUUGAAUAUGGUUUUGUAAAUUACAUUUACAAGCCUGAGGAAGUUCAAAGUAAAGUUUGGGACAAAAUAGUUGAGGUGUCAAAACUCCCCAAGCACUGUAUUACAAUCACUAAGAAGUUGGUAAGGGAUGCUGUGAGAGAAGAACUUUUGAGAGCCAAUGACAAAGAAAUAGAGGAACUCAAUGCCAUAUGGAUAAAAGGACAGAGAAGUAAAAUAUAAGCAAAACUUGUUUAAUAUUUAUGUGUAAAAAAUACAUUUAAAUAUUUUUAUAAGUAUGUAUGUACAUAAAUGUAUGUAGUUUUUGUUAUAUUAGAUCAAGAGUAUUUAUUCUUUAAGCAUUUAAACACACAAAGUGAUCCAUAUAUUUUUAAUUAUCAGUAAGCAUUUAAGAUGUGCCACCUGUUAAGGAAAAUGAGAUCUAAAAGAUACCAGGUGUUACAGUCACCAGUAUUUUCGGUUUUCCCGAUUGUAUACAUACUUAAAAAUGAUUAAAACAAAAAAAAUAUCUAUAUGUA
rnacentral:misc_RNA from 1 species